rnacentral:rRNA from 1 species
CAAUAGCGUAUAUUAAAGUUGUUGCGGUUAAAAAGCUCGUAGUUGGAUUUCUGUUGAGGAUGGGCGGUCCGCACUACGUGCGUGUAUCUGUUACAGCCUCGGCAUCCUCAUGAAGAACAGUGCUGCUCUUAAUUGCGUGGUCUGGAAUUCAUGACUUUUACUUUGAGGAAAUUAGAGUGUUCACUGCAAGCAAUCGCUUUGAAUACAUUAGCAUGGAAUAAUAAUAUAGGACCUUGGUACUAUUUUGUUGGUUUCUAGAGCUGAGGUAAUGAUUAAUAGGGAUAGUUGGGGGCAUUCGUAUUUAAUUGUCAGAGGUGAAAUUCUUGGAUUUAUUAAAGACGGACUACUGCGAAAGCAUUUGCCAAGGAUGUUUUCAUUGAUCAAGAACGAAAGUUAGGGGA